UGUCCAAAUACCCCCUGCUGGCAAGGACUCUAAAUGCAGCGGCUUUGGCUUUUAACAGGGUAUCUGGGUUCACUGUCAAAUUUUAGCCAAUUUAUGCUCAUUUCGUGAGGUUAAUGGGCAAGGCAUUGAGGCAUUGGUAACAGCUGCAGAGUGGUGGACGCUGGGCUGUGCUGUCCGCCUGAGUGCCAGGCCUGAGAUGACAUGUUCCUGGUCCUCAGAGUUGGGCCGGGAAUGAGGGUCUGGUGUAUUGUCCUAUCCAGUCCUGCAGGCUGCCAGGCGCCUUAAUGCCCAAAUUAAUUUUAAAGAGUUUAUUUUUUCGCACUCCACACAGACAAGAACACACACACACGCACACACGUGAACACACACACACACACACACACACACACACACACACACACACGAUGGUCAGUUCUAUUGUUUUCUUUUGGAUGGAUGACUUAUGCCUUUUCCUCUUUUUCAAACCCAAUGUUUUAUAUUCGUAGCCUUAAGACAACAUGUUUUGCUUGCCACCUCUGCUUGACUAUAUAUGUGUGAAAUGCAGAUCCGGGCGACAGGGGGAGAAGGGAGAGAGAGGGAGCCAGAGAGGCAAAGAGAGAGAGGGAGAGGGAGAGAGAGAGGCAGAGAAGAAGAAGGUGAGAGGGAGGAGGGCAGAGAGAGGGCACGACAAAGAGAAAGAAAGAGAGGGUAAAAGAGGGAAAGAGAGAUGGGGGAGAAGGAGGAGAGAAAGAGAGAGAGAGAGAGAGAGAGAGAGAGAGAGAGAGAGAGAGAGAGAGAGAGAGAGAGAGAGAGAGAGAGAGAGAGAGAGAGAGAGAGAGAGGGAAACCGGUAGAGCUUUGACGCCACAUGAUCUGUCGCGUGUCAGCCAGGCUCCAUCAUUCCACCCCCAGGUGGGUCUCCCUCUGGCGUGCAAGACUUUUCUGUAACAAUCUUUUCUUCUCCUCCUCUUCCACCUGUUCCCCCUCCUCCCUCUCCCGCUGCUCCUUCACAGAGAAGCCGAUGGCGCGGGGCCCCCCCGGGGGGGUGAUCGGGGUCCUGGGGGGCAUAGUCGCCAUCGGUCUGAUCAUCGCUGUGGCGAUCACUGUCGUCAUGAUGCACCGGCGCCAGCAGAAGACGGCCACAGAGACGGAUAACGACCUGGCCGACCUCCCACCCGCACACAAGCCCGCCCCUCCCCCGCCGAAGAAGAAGACCUGCGACAUGAAGGGACACCUGACUUCUGAGGACAUCCAGGUGGUGCACCUGGACAAGGACGAGGAGAUGCAGAAGCUUCCCCUCCAGCCUCCAUACUACGACAUGGCGCCCUCUGAGUCAACCCCCUUCACCGAUAAAAUGAACUGUGGGCGGCGCCCAGAAGACGUUCUGAACCCGGCCCCGUACGUGACCUACCAGCCGAUCUGCUCCAUGGAAACCUUCUCCCAGCCAGCCCCACCACCGGCAGCACACCCCCAGCCUCCCACCUCCUUCCUGCCCCAACACCCCUACGCCCACCCCCACCGCCCUCUGCACCAGCAGCCUCCGGGCCAAGAGAUCUCCUACCCCCCCAACAUGGGCCACCCUGUGCCUGGUCCGCGAGCCCCCUUCACCUACUCCAGGGAGCAGUCGGUGUGAGGCGCGGUGACCCCCGCAGUAACCCCCCCCCCCCCCCCCCCCCCCACACACACCUCCGAGGAUCUACGCAACGACCAGCGGAACCGUGACUGCGACGCCUCCCCCUGUCUCCCUCCAACUCCUCCACACGUCGGUGUAGUGUGAGCUCAGUAUACGGGUGGUGUCUUUUAUAUGUGAGCUGUCUCCGUCCUCCCUCUGUGACCCCCCCCCCCCCCCUUGUCCCUACCUUGUGUGUCGUGCACUGCUUGUAUCACGGAAGGCGUAGCGUAUAGAAACACGACACCUAGUGCUGUUAGCCGUUAGACGCUGUUAUCUCCCCACCGCCCUCCUCCAACCUCCUCCACCCCUCUCCGCUGCUCCCUUGUGCCCGUGGGAUCCGGGUCCUCAUUCCCAACGCUACGUGUCUAACCAUGUACUGUGUUUGCCAUUCUUUUGUUUAUUCGGUCGCUUUUUCAAUUUCGUUUUUUAUUUGACUCACCGCGGCCGUGACCGCUUAUAUCCGUGUUCAUUGUUGCUUUUUUCCGUUGUUUUUUUUGUCGAUUAUAUGCUUGCUUCUUCAAGAAAAACUACAUAACGUACUGUAUUUGUGAUUUGGAUGUGUAAUCUGAAAAAAAUGAUGUAACUAUUAAUACUUUUUUAGAAUUGUUUACCUAUAAAUAGGACAUGGCCUGCCCCCCUUUUUCAUGAGUUAUUGGCAGAGUGGUCGGAAUUGGCAGUUACUCCCUUCUUCCCCUCGUCAUUAAAAAACUGCAGCCAUAUUUGAUUCGAUUUAGAUAGGUUGAAUUAUAAGAAAGACACGUUGUCCUCACCAUAAAAUAAGAACAGAUAAGGGCUAAAAAUAAGCAACUAUUUUUCCCUCUUACAUGACAGUAUAUUAAUAUAAUUAUUAUUAAUGUUAUUAUUAAUAUUAUUCAUAGCAGUAUUGUUAGUUGCCAAGGCUAGGAGCAUUCUAUUUUGCUAAUGUGUAUUUUUAGUCAUAUUAUUUUGUAUUGUUUUCCAUUUGCUUCCAUGCUAACGUUUACAUUCGACCGUAUUUGUUCAAGGGAAUGUACAGCGAAGAUUGGCAACAUGCUCAGCUAGUUUACAUUACUGCUUGCCACACGCUGUGUUUCUAAAUGGAGUUUACUGGAAGGUUAAUUAACGCAAGGGUCCUAGGUGGGAUUUUUUAUCGAGGGGGGGAACAGAGCCUCCUCUACGCAGGUGCAAUAGAUGAAUAUGACAAUCACUUUUUAGGGCUGCCCUAGGAAAACUUUGUUUUUCAUGGUUUAUUCAAGGUUUGUUUAGUUUUCAUUUAUUUAUUUAUUUUUUACUAAUUGCUCAAAAAGCCAACUUUUUUUUCCCAGGACAGCCCUCCCACAUAUUGAAAUGUUUUAUUUUAGGAUUGCACCUCUCAAAAGCCUAAAGAGUUGAACAAUAAUCCGCUGAAGAAAGAGCUUGCUACUGUAUUUUUCUAGAGAACACUUCCGUAUAGACUGUAUCGAUUGAGCUUUACAAAUAUAUAACACACACUGUGACUGUCGCUAUUAAACCAUACAUAAGCUAACUCUCCUACGACGAGCCAACUCUAACACACUGCCACCAACACACACAACACGUCCACGACACAUAACACAACUGCAUAAAUAACUGAAAGGUUCACACAUUUUCUUUUUGCCAUGUCAGGUUUGUGUAUAGGAUAAAAAAUGAGAAUACUUGUGUUUGUGCUCGAUGUGAAAGAUGUUUAAAAAAUGACAAGUAGAUUAACCCUUGAGAUGUUGAAGGUGUUAGUGUUUACUCUUGACGGUUGUAUGAAUUUGGGUAAAAAAAAUCUCCUUUUGCUCAUUGUUGUCCUGCGAUGGCUGAAUCGGUGUGCGAGUUCUGAGUGGAACCGGUUUCGUCCGGUUUGAACUGCAGCAUCGACAUGUUGUCUUGGUGUAACUGCUGUAUGAAAACACAAACACACAGAAUGCUUUCUUGUGACACAUUGUUAAUAACAACCUCCCUUAUUAUUAUUAUUAUUAUUACUAUCGUUAUUAUAAUUAUGACUAUAACUGUGAUUAAUAUUAUUACCGCUACUGCAUUCUUGGAAUGAAAUGUACUUCUAUUUAUUUCUAAAUUGUUUUGUCUGUCCUCAAUUGUGUUGACCUUCAUCUUUUUCUAUGAUUUUUGUUUAUAACUUUUCUUUUGUUUCAUGUUACUUUUCUUUUUCUAAAUAGUGCGUAUAUUUCUCUUGAAACCCUCAUCUGUACAUUUGAGUGGACGGUAAUCAUCUGAUGUAGCAGACACUACUAGAGCUGCGGUAGGAAAGAAAGUGUGGAAGAAUUUAACCAUUAUUUUUUACAUCCUGAGUUCUUUGUGUAAAUAUUAACAGUGUAUCUGGUGUGUUGAAAAAAAGAAACAAAAAAAAAGAACAAGCCAUGCAGGUUAACAUUAAACUUCACUAAUGAUCCAUGUAAUAUGUGUGGUGUUUGUGUCUUAAUCAUUCUAUCCACCAUCCAUCCAUCCAUCCACCCCCACCUGCUUUAGCAUGUAAACAUGUAUGCGCACACACACACACACACACACACACACACACACACACACACACACACACACACACACACACACACACACACACACACACACACACACACACACACACACACACACACAAUAUGACAGUGGAGUCUCAAUAUUCAUUCUAAACAUCCACCAUUCAAAAGG
rnacentral:lncRNA from 1 species